GAUGAACGCUAGCUACAGGCUUAACACAUGCAAGUCGAGGGGAAACGAUAUUGGAAGCUUGCUUCCGAUAGGCGUCGACCGGCGCACGGGUGAGUAACGCGUAUCCAACCUGCCCACCACUUGGGGAUAACCUUGCGAAAGUAAGACUAAUACCCAAUGACGUCUCUAGAAGACAUCUGAAAGAGAUUAAAGAUUUAUCGGUAAAGGAUGGCGAUGCGUCCCAUUAGUUAGUUGGCGGGGUAACGGCCCACCAAGACGACGAUGGGUAGGGGUUCUGAGAGGAAGGUCCCCCACAUUGGAACUGAGACACGGUCCAAACUCCUACGGGAGGCAGCAGUGAGGAAUAUUGGUCAAUGGGCGAGAGCCUGAACCAGGCCAAGUAGCGUGCAGGAUGACGGCCCUAUGGGUUGUAAACUGCUUUUAUAAGGGAAUAAAGUGAGCCUCGUGAGGCUUUUUGCAUGUACCUUAUGAAUAAGGACCGGCUAAUUCCGUG
rnacentral:rRNA from 1 species